rnacentral:lncRNA from 1 species
UUUGCCAGAAAUGGUAAAGGGUAUGUGCUUAGAGCCCGCGAUGCUCUAGAUUAUGUUUGGUGGUCAUUCAGAAAUGGAUGGUCCAUAUUAUGUUUGGAAUCCCACUUCACCAUCUAUUUAUUUGAAAUUAAAUUCAGAGCCGACCUAGCACUUGGGCAGGGUGAGAGGGCUAGAGUAGGAAAGGGCUACCCAUGGAUGGAGUCGAGAACUCAUCACGGCGUGGAGCCACCACUGAGUUAAACCUCACAUGCACUAUGCUAGGGUACGACGUCUGAGCUUCUGUUUCGUAUUUUAUAUUUAUAUGCUCCAAAAUGUUUCCUAUGCCAUUGAUAUACUUCAAAUGCUUCACAUACCAUUGAUAUGUUCCGAAAUGUUCCAUUUGUCAUUGAUAUGCUCCGGAACAUCUCGUAUGCUAUUGAUAUGCUCCAAUUACUCUGUGCUCCAUUUGCUAUGAACUAAUAUAUUCUGAAAUGUCCUAUUUGCCAUUGAUAUGCUCCGGAUCAUCUCGUACGCUAUUGAUAUGCUCCAAUUACUCUGUGAUUCAUUUGCUAUAAACUGAUAUGUUCUGAAAUAUCCUAUUUGCCAUUUAUAUGCUCCGGAACAUCUUAUACGCUAUUGAUAUGCUCUAAUUACUCUAUGCUUCAUUUGUUAUGAACUAAAUAUGUUAUGAAUAAAAUGACAUUUGCGAUUCUGUAUCUAAUGAGAUGAUAUCCUUGAAUCUCUUGGAUUCUGUCUUGCAUUGUGAUAUCUUGUUUGUUUGAAACUGUCCCUUCUUGUGUUAGAUAUGCUUUGUCACUUGCUAAGCUGUUUUUAGCUCACUCCGUUAUUAUAUAAAUCUUUUAGGUCAGCUUGUCAUUCUUUGAUAUGUUUGAAUUGAGCUGAGGCAGUGGAGAGCUAUUCAGAAUUAUGGGCAGGUCUUGUUGGUUAUUAUGUUAUUGUUGUAUAAGCAUAUUUUAUAUGUAAUGAAAUGUUGUCGAUGAAUCGAAAUGGAUAUACCUUGUAAAAGUGUUAGAAGAUCUCUCUUAUUUUGAAUUUCGGAAUGUUAAGUCUAGUUUACAAUGAUAUGAACUUGUGGUAAAUGGUUGGAGUUAUAAUUGUAUAAAUUACUUAGCUUGUGGAUUUAUAAAUGUUGUUCAUGUUUGUCAAGUUGGCUUGGGUUGCCAUAAAUGUGAAUUAUCGAGUGAUGUGAUAUAUGAUUAUAAACUGCAUAAGUUUUAUAGAUGUGAA